AACGUAUAAUUAUGUUUCAGCGCGUUACGAGAUGCAGAAGAAAAGGACAAAAAAUGCCGCGAACGUUCAAAGAAAGCACAACAGCGCACACAAGAGCUCAAGGAGGAAACUGCUAAAUACGAGGCCAGCAAGUCGGAAGGGAUGGAGACACUAGCUAAAAUGAGGAACGAUUUCAUUAGCGAGAUCAAAUCAUUGGAAGAGGCAUUAUUGAAGAAGGUGACAGAAGCAGAGAAGAGAAUAGAAGAUAAACUGCGUAAUAGGAACUUGUGAUAAGUGUAGGUUCUAAGUUAAUAUUAUUUUCUUGAAUUUAUGAAUAUGAAGAGAAAUAGUGUUGAAACCUGUUCAAACUCAAAAUUAAUGAAUAAAAUUGUUAUUGUAUUAUA